GCCUUCGGGUUGUAAAGUACUUUCAGCGGGGAGGAAGGGAGUAAAGUUAAUACCUUUGCUCAUUGACGUUACCCGCAGAAGAAGCACCGGCUAACUCCGUGCCAGCAGCCGCGGUAAUACGGAGGGUGCAAGCGUUAAUCGGAAUUACUGGGCGUAAAGCGCACGCAGGCGGUUUGUUAAGUCAGAUGUGAAAUCCCCGGGCUCAACCUGGGAACUGCAUCUGAUACUGGCAAGCUUGAGUCUCGUAGAGGGGGGUAGAAUUCCAGGUGUAGCGGUGAAAUGCGUAGAGAUCUGGAGGAAUACCGGUGGCGAAGGCGGCCCCCUGGACGAAGACUGACGCUCAGGUGCGAAAGCGUGGGGAGCAAACAGGAUUAGAUACCCCGGUAGAGAUGGAGGC
rnacentral:rRNA from 1 species